rnacentral:rRNA from 1 species
GUAUUAAAGGUCCUGCCUGCCCAGUGAACGAGUUUUAAACGGCCGCGGUAUCCUAACCGUGCAAAGGUAGCGUAAUCACUUGUUCUUUAAUUAAGGACUAGUAUGAAUGGCCACAUGAGAGCGCAACUGUCUCCUAUAGCCAGUCAAUGAACCUGAUCCUUCAGUACAAAAGCUGGAAUAUACACAUAAGACGAGAAGACCCUGUGGAGCUUUAAACAAAUCUUAAACCCCGCAACCCCCGACAGGAAAACCCACAGGGGAAAUUAAAGGCGUUUUUAGUUGGGGCGACUACGGGGAAAAACAAAACCCCCACGAAAAACAUUUAUUUUAGACGGACACGUCUACAAUAAGACAUAAAAGACCCAGUAUUACUGGCCAACGAACCAAGUUACCCCAGGGAUAACAGCGCCAUCCCCUUUAAGAGUCCUUAUCACCAAGGGGGUUUACGACCUCGAUGUUGGAUCAGGACAUCCAGGUGGUGUAGCCGCUACCAAGGGUUCGUUUGUUCAACGAUUAAUAGUCCU